UACAAGACACAUAUUUUAUAAGAUUAUUUAUAGUAGUCACCCAAAGAAUCAUAUACGAGAGUGUGCAGGAAAUCUGUCCACACACUAAGACCAAGGAAUCUAGCCGAGGGCCUGGAUCCCACGGCAAUGUCCUGCAUGCGUCCAGCUGAAGACCUAGAGCUCAUAACUGUGCCAUCCACAAGAGCAAAUGGAGGCCCAGAGCCCAUAAUAACGUCUCAUGCAGGCCUGUCUCAUGGAUCUGCGCUGGGAAGGCCCACAGGUGAGACCAGAAGGAUGGAUAUACUCAUCACCAUUUUGCCAGUUCGACUGAAGUUUAUUGAGCACUACUGGCUUUGGGCUGAGCCCAGGGCUACACAUCUCCAGUCUUCAGAUGAGGAAACUGAACUCAGACGUGAAGAAAGCACAGAUGGGAUUUCACCUGACCUGUUUGGACGCAGGCACCUUGUCUCCUGACAGAUACCACUUAGUUUUAGCACUGGAGUACUGACAGAGCAAGAUCACUUUUUUCCCUGGCUCUAAAAUCUUGCCCAAGGGAAACUGGUUCCAAGAACGAGAGAGGCUGUGUCUGGUCUUUCGGAUGCUCUGUGGCCUGCUCUAG
rnacentral:lncRNA from 1 species